AUUCCCUCCUGAGGGCGCGCGACACUGGAUAAUAUGAUGAGCCUGAACCAGAGCCGGAAGUUUCAGACGAAUACGUGACAGCGGUGCAGACUGGCGAAGAACUGGAUCCGAACAAAGUUAAAAUACAUCAAUACGGUCCCAGGAAAGGUUUCUACAGUCUGACAAUGUCAGAAGAGGAGGCAUAAACUUGUCCGUCAGAUGGUGCAAUGGAGUAAAAAAACAAAUAUGCAAACUAUCGAUAAAAUUCUUUUUCAUCUGAGCAACAAUCUUGCUAAUACUCUGUAAUAAGUGGCAAUUUCCACAAACUCUCAACAUCUGUGACUCCCUGCUCUC